rnacentral:rRNA from 1 species
AUUGAACGCUGGCGGCAGGCCUAACACAUGCAAGUCGAGCGAGCGGCGGACGGGUGAGUAAUGUCUGGGAAUCUGCCUGAUGGCGGGGGAUAACUACUGGAAACGGUAGCUAAUACCGCAUCCCAUCAGAUGAGCCCAGAUGGGAUUAGCUAGUAGGUGGGGUAACGGCUCACCUAGGCGACGAUCCCUAGCUGGUCUGAGAGGAUGAACAGCCACACUGGAACUGAGACACGGUCCAGACUCCUACGGGAGGCAGCAGUGGGGAAUAUUGCACAAUGGGCGCAAGCCUGAUGCAGCCAUGCCGCGUGUAUGAAGAAGGCCUUCGGGUUGUAAAGUACUUUCAGCGGGGAGGCGUUACCCGCAGAAGAAGCACCGGCUAACUCCGUGCCAGCAGCCGCGGUAAUUC